GUCGAACGAUGAACCACUUCGGUGGGGAUUAGUGGCGAACGGGUGAGUAACACGUGGGCAAUCUGCCCUGCACUCUGGGACAAGCCCUGGAAACGGGGUCUAAUACCGGAUACUGAUCUACUUGGGCAUCCAAGUGGUUCGAAAGCUCCGGCGGUGCAGGAUGAGCCCGCGGCCUAUCAGCUUGUUGGUGAGGUAACGGCUCACCAAGGCGACGACGGGUAGCCGGCCUGAGAGGGCGACCGGCCACACUGGGACUGAGACACGGCCCAGACUCCUACGGGAGGCAGCAGUGGGGAAUAUUGCACAAUGGGCGAAAGCCUGAUGCAGCGACGCCGCGUGAGGGAUGACGGCCUUCGGGUUGUAAACCUCUUUCAGCAGGGAAGAAGCGAAAGUGACGGUACCUGCAGAAGAAGCGCCGGCUAACUACGUGCCAGCAGCCGCGGUAAUUCA
rnacentral:rRNA from 1 species